rnacentral:rRNA from 1 species
GGGGAAUAUUGGGCAAUGGAGGAAACUCUGACCCAGCAACGCCGCGUGGAGGAAGAAGGUUUUCGGAUCGUAAACUCCUGUCCUUGGAGACGAGUAGAAGACGGUAUCCAAGGAGGAAGCCCCGGCUAACUACGUGCCAGCAGCCGCGGUAAUACGUAGGGGGCAAGCGUUGUCCGGAAUAAUUGGGCGUAAAGGGCGCGUAGGCGGCUCGGUAAGUCUGGAGUGAAAGUCCUGCUUUUAAGGUGGGAAUUGCUUUGGAUACUGUCGGGCUUGAGUGCAGGAGAGGUUAGUGGAAUUCCCAGUGUAGCGGUGAAAUGCGUAGAGAUUGGGAGGAACACCAGUGGCGAAGGCGACUAACUGGACUGUAACUGACGCUGAGGCGCGAAAGUGUGGGGAGCAAACAGGAUUAGAUACCCUGGUAGUCCACACUGUAAACGAUGAAUGCUAGGUGUAGGGGGUAUCGAUCCCUUCUGUGCCGCAGUCAACACAAUAAGCAUUCCGCCUGGGGAGUACGGCCGCAAGGUUGAAACUCAAAGGAAUUGACGGGGGCCCGCACAAGCAGCGGAGCAUGUGGUUUAAUUCGACGCAACGCGAAGAACCUUACCAGGUCUUGACAUCCACUUAAACUUACAGAGAUGUAAGGUGUGCUUGCACAAAGUGAGACAGGUGGUGCAUGGUUGUCGUCAGCUCGUGUCGUGAGAUGUUGGGUUAAGUCCCGCAACGAGCGCAACCCUUAUCUUCAGUUACUAACGCGUGAGGGUGAGGACUCUGAAGAGACUGCCGGGGACAACUCGGAGGAAGGUGGGGACGACGUCAAAUCAUCAUGCCCCUUAUGACCUGGGCUACACACGUGCUACAAUGGCCACGACAGAGAGAAGCGAAAUCGUAAGGUAGAGCGGAACUCAAAAAAGUGGUUCCAGUUCGGAUUGUGGGCUGCAACCCGCCCACAUGAAGUCGGAGUUGCUAGUAAUCGCGGAUCAGCAUGCCGCGGUGAAUACGUUCCCG